rnacentral:rRNA from 1 species
GAUGAACGCUAGCUACAGGCUUAACACAUGCAAGUCGAGGGGAAACGACAGAGGAAGCUUGCUUCCUCUGGGCGUCGACCGGCGCACGGGUGAGUAACGCGUAUCCAACCUUCCCGCAAGUAAGGGAUAACCCGUAGAAAUGCGGCCUAAUACCUUAUGUUUUCCUUAGAGGGCAUCUGAUGAGGAACAAAGAUCCGUCGCUUGCGGAUGGGGAUGCGUCUGAUUAGUUAGUCGGCGGGGUAACGGCCCACCGAGACGACGAUCAGUAGGGGUUCUGAGAGGAAAGUCCCCCACAUUGGAACUGAGACACGGUCCAAACUCCUACGGGAGGCAGCAGUGAGGAAUAUUGGUCAAUGGGCGGAAGCCUGAACCAGCCAAGUAGCGUGCAGGACGACGGCCCUAUGGGUUGUAAACUGCUUUUAUAAGGGAAUAAAGUGAGUCUCGUGAGACUUUUUGCAUGUACCUUAUGAAUAAGGACCGGCUAAUUCCGUG